rnacentral:rRNA from 1 species
UAAGGAAUAUUGGUCAAUGGAGGCAACUCUGAACCAGCCAUGCCGCGUGAAGGAUUAAGGCCCUCUGGGUUGUAAACUUCUUUUAUAUGGGAAUAAAUGUACUUUUUCUAAAGUGCUUGACGGUACCAUAGGAAUAAGCACCGGCUAACUCCGUGCCAGCAGCCGCGGUAAUACGGAGGGUGCAAGCGUUAUCCGGAUUUACUGGGUUUAAAGGGUGCGUAGGCGGAUGAAUAAGUCAGUGGUGAAAUCUCCGAGCUUAACUCGGAAACUGCCGUUGAUACUAUUUGUCUUGAAUAUGUUGGAGGGAAGCGGAAUAUGUCAUGUAGCGGUGAAGUGCUUAGAUAUGACAUAGAACACCAAUUGCGAAGGCAGCUUGCUACAC